AAUCAAAUAAAUUAGAUAACUGUUGGACUCAACACCGCUUGACUACCUUGAGUGUGUUACGUUACGUCGGCGAAUUCGGUAAUCUAGAAGUGUAGCUCCGCCCAUUUUUCAGAAAUAGACGAUCGUGCACUAAGUCCCCCUAAUUUAAAAUUAAAUUUGUUUUAAUUCAGUUAGUUAUGUUUUAAAACAUUUAUUUUUCCCUACCACAUAUUAGAGAUUUAUAAAUAGUGCCGGGGGAGUGGAAUACGUUAUCGCUAGAUGGCACUGUACAGUUUCAAGUUUAUGAAUUCUUUGUUUUAUUUUUACGAGCAUAUUACAUCCUUUUUUCUCGUUAAUUAUCAUCCAAUUAAUAACUAAAUUUGAGAAAACAGUUGUCUGAAGCCAGACCAGAUUGAAAACGUCGACGAAUUCGGUAAUCUAAGGAACGUUGAAAAAGGGUUGAGCAGACGAAAACAAAGUUGUCUGCCAAGGCGGUGUUUUGGCAUGGUUUUGGUGAAUCUGUGCCGACUUGAACUCCGAACGUGUUACGAUUUCACCUGACUUAAAUCAUAAAUAGUUUUAGGAGAAUAUUAUACCUGCUUGAGUUUGCCUGCCUCACAGGUUUCCUCUGAGUAGCUAGUUUAGUCAUGCUCGUAUGUGUUUUACUGUUUUGGCAUUGAACAAAUGCACCAAUUGACAUUGACUGAAAUGCAGAAAAACUUGUAAUGCCCAUUCCGUUCUCUCACAAGUCACAAGAAGACAUAAAUGAAGCGUUGACGUCACUUGGAGGUUAUGGGAGUCGGUAUGACGUUAUUGGGGCACUAGGAUCUAGGAUGUUUGCUUGUGUAUGAGAUGGGCCUGUAUCAUUCCUUGUUGGACAGAUUAAUUGUGAGGGCCUUGGAUAUGACCAAAUGCCAAUGCUGACUGGUGAUGAUGGCUCUUUUUCGACUUUUUGGCUGACAUUUUUCUUUUUGGUGUGAAAUGCUUGGAGCGGAUGGAGCCCUGGCUCUUCUGUGAAUCAGCUCAACUGAUGGUUUGAUUCUACAUAAAACAGAAUAGGCAUUUCAAACUUAAUUUCAAACUUAAUUUCAAACUUAAUUUCAAACUUAAUAACGAAAUCACGGUAAUUGGUAAAAUCUGACAUGAUAAGUGGCCUAGUGUAAUAUUUGUGAGUAAUCGUUUGUCUAGAAUAAAACACAUCGCGUCAGUAUUGCAAUGUACAAACUGUUAUUAAGUUUUAAUUUUUAUUGAGACAUGCUCUUCGACUUGUCUCCUCAGUAGAUUUUUCAAAUGCUUAGUCAUCUUAAUUACAAAUUGUUGACAUUUUCAUUCUGUUUUCAGGCCCCCGCCGCAAUUCCAUGGUGGUAGCGAGAGAUUGCUGAAAUUCAACACUAUUAAUACAUGAUGUAGUUAGAUAAAUUACAAGUGCGCAUAUCUAGAUUAGAUGUAAGCUUACAUCUAUCUCUAUGUUCAAGAGACAAUUUCAAGUGUAUAGUAUAUACUGUACACUCUUCACUGAUAACUGUUUAAUCAAUCUUUUAGAUCAUAGACGUCAACCUCAUUGAUGACACAAAUUAUAAACAAGGUGACUUAAUUUUUGUUUUAUUUACAGGUACUAAAUUGGAAUGACAAACUUUAUGAGAAGUCUUGUCCUUUCAAGAAAAAGGAUAUCAGAACAUUUGGAUACCCAACCUUCAACUUUUGGUUGCAGUUCAGGACUGAGACUAACAAGUCCAGCAAAAUCAUCGCUUAACAGCUGACCCUGACGGUGCCAAGCAAACACCAUAAGCCGAAGAUAAAGACAACGUAAAAGUUCCCAAGUCUAAGGAUGUCUGUCGUGGCAAACUGAUUGCGUAGCAACUGGAGAAAGUGUUUGUCGAGCAAACGAACUGUGAUGUCGAACUCUUGUUAGAAGACGAGGAGGUAAUCGGAGGCCAUAUUUCCAUCUUGGUUGCCAGAAGUCCCGUUUUCUCUGCCAUGUUUUACCACAACCUUCAAAAAUCCAUGACGUGCAAAGUCUUCGUCCAAGACAUCCGGCCACAGAUUUUCAAAGAGAUGCUACAGUACAUUUACUCCGGCCAGACUAUGGCUCCUUUGAUGGACGCCAUCGCUCAACCUCUGUUCGUACUUUCAGUCAAAUACGAUAUCGAGGACCUUAAAGAAAAGUGUGUCCAUUAUCUACUGAAAAGCAUCCGGACGAGUAAUGCAGUUGACUUGUUGGGGGCAAAUCUUCAUUCGGUGGAUAAAAUCCAAGAAUCAACUCUUGACUUUGUGGCCAUAAAUUUCAAAAUCAUUUGUCAGUCCAAUGAAUGGGAGAACUUGAUGAAGAACUAUCCGGACUCAAGAGCUUGGAUUCCUGGUGGCUCGACGUUAUGUAGCUCUUUAAGAGAUACGCCAGCCAAAGAGUUCUGUAUAACUUUAAAUGCGGUUCCAGCGUCACCACCAAUAUCCACAAUUCCACAUGAGUUCACGAUCCUUGCAACAACAACACGUACAGCAUGAUACUGGACACUUAAGCAAGAUUUGCUUUUUAUCAGCACGGUCAGCUAGUGUGGCAUCCGUGAAUAGUGAUUUUGACGAAAUCUUUUUUUUUGUGGUUCUUAUUGCCAAUCGAUAAUACGCUCUAAGGUUGCAGAGAAAUAUUUAAAAAAUAGCCGACUGCUGUCCUUCAAACGGUUCGAAAUGGAAGAUUUAUUCAUUCACCGAAGAAACGAGUCAAAUGACUCAGAUGUCAAUUGGUUAAAAAACCCAUCCCCAGCGACGUCAACCUGCAGAAGGAAAGGCCA
rnacentral:lncRNA from 1 species